AUACGGAGGGUGCGAGCGUUGUUCGGAAUUACUGGGCGUAAAGCGGGUGUAGGCGGUGGAUCAAGUCAGAUGUGAAAGCCCUCGGCUCAACCGAGGAAGUGCAUCUGAAACUGGUUCACUAGAGUACGGGAGAGGAGAGAGGAAUUCCCAGUGUAGAGGUGAAAUUGGUAGAUAUUGGGAGGAACACCGGUGGCGAAGGCGGCUCUCUGGAACGAUACUGACGCUGAGACCCGAAAGCGUGGGGAGCAAACAGGAUUAGAUACCCCAGUAGUCC
rnacentral:rRNA from 1 species